GCCUCCAUAGUCUAGCGGUCCAGGACGCCGCCCUCUCAAGGCGGAAACACGGGUUCGAGUCCCGUUGGAGGUACCA
rnacentral:tRNA from 1 species